UGGGGAAUAUUGCACAAUGGGCGCAAGCCUGAUGCAGCCAUGCCGCGUGUAUGAAGAAGGCCUUCGGGUUGUAAAGUACUUUCAGCGGGGAGGAAGGGAGUAAAGUUAAUACCUUUGCUCAUUGACGUUACCCGCAGAAGAAGCACCGGCUAACUCCGUGCCAGCAGCCGGGGUAAUACGGAGGGUGCAAGCGUUAAUCGGAAUUACUGGGCGUAAAGCGCACGCAGGCGGUUUGUUAAGUCAGAUGUGAAAUCACCGGGCUCAACCUGGGAACUGCAUCUGAUACUGGCAAGCUUGAGUCUCGUAGAGGGAGGUAGAAUUCCAGGUGUAGCGGUGAAAUGCGUAGAGAUCUGGAGGAAUACCGGUGGCGAAGGCGGCCCCCUGGCCGAAGACUGACGCUCAGGUGCGAAAGCGUAGGGAGCAAACAGG
rnacentral:rRNA from 1 species